UAUUUACGAUGAAGGAGUUGGGUCGCCCAUGAGAACGGACGGAUUAUUGGCGCACAAUCCAGCAUCAAAAUCGUCCUGCGUUUCGCACUCAACGGCGCGGAAACCUAUUUCACUGUUGAUGGACUCGACAAAGUUGAAAUUGACCGCCGUUGGGGUAAAAGUCAAUAUGUCCGAUAGGUGGUAAAAAGCCUUGCUGGUCGUGCAGCAAUGUGCCGCCGUUUGUGUGAAUGAUAUCGACAAAGUCACCGUCUGUCGUGUCCAGUCGCGUCUCCGUGUCGUUGAGGGUGAACAAAGGUCCGGCUGGGUCCAGUCCUGCCAUGCGUUUAUUUCGACUGACUGCCGCUCCUGCACCGCCUACGACGUGAGCCCCAAGGCUAUGACCCAUCAAGUGAAUGGAGCUAAACGACGUUUCCGUAUUCUCGACGAGGAAAUCAAUGAAUUGUCUUUUCCAGCGCAAAAAUAGGAUAUUCGAUACCUGAUGCCAAAACGGACCAAUCAAUGGCGAUGAAAUUGCAAUGUUCACGUUGUAGGCUGCGCCAGGCGUAUCAUGCAGGCCGUGAGCGAACAUCUUCGUGGGUAAUGAUGGCUCAUAAAAGGACUGUUGAAGUGAUGUCAAGUUGUCGAGUUCCAGGAUUUGAGACAUUUUUCUUACCGUGUGAAAAGUUCAAAGACUACUGUGCUGACAUUCGGUGCAGCUCGUCCCUCGAUGGAAUCGCCCAUACCUAGACGGAGAUGUUUUUACAUUGAUAACGAAAAAGGAAUUCAACUCGGGCGCCAGACAAGUAAUUAUCCCAGGAAUCACAAAAAAUAGAACGGAAUCCUAUCUCGGUUGUUAUGGAUUCAGUAAAAUAAUCGACAGCUCGGCAGUGGGCGCAGCAUCCUGUAAAAAGCGCUGACACCGUCACAUCCAGGUUGGACAAGUCCGCCAUUUGGGAAAAAAUCUAUGUGGCCAAUGGGUACCGUGAAGCGACCUUCCGUGUGGAUGAUGUCGACGAAAUGAGCGUCAGUCGUGUCCAGCCUCCCAUCAGUAUCUUCUAGCGGAUAAAACUCGUCAGUGUGAGAGGGAUCUAGACCUGUAUUAGUAUUUUAGUUAUUUUGUACCUUAUUUUGCAUUUGCAUUAAAUUUAAUAAGUACGAUUAUUGAUUACCUGUGAUUCUGGCUACCCUCUCUCCAGAUGUAACUGCGGCUCCGGCAAACCCAACCACAUGCGCCCCAAAACUAUUUUAAAUAUUUCAAGAAAAACUUUUUGAAGUCCGCUAACAUCGUAAUCGGAGUAAUACCUGUGACCAAUAAGGUGAAAAUCGUCUAGUGUUGCCCCUUCAGUCACGAGAAAAUUGAUAAAUUUGCCGGUGAGCAUUCCAGCUAGCGGCACGUAAUUGGUAGAGACAUAAGAAUAAUUCCCUGUUGCCAUGGUGGACCAAUCGAUGGCAAUAAAGUUGCAGUCCUGCCGCUCCAAAUAUCCUUUGAAGUAGGUUGGCAUCAUAUUUUCAAUAAUCUAAAUAGAUUCCCUGCAAUUAAGGUCUAUUACCGUCUUUUGUGGGGUAGCUAUACGUGGGAGAACCGUUGAGUCCAUGAGCAAAGAACUUGGUUUUCAGACUGUUGUUGUAAUUGGAUUGGUGCAGUAAAGUGGCAUUGUCCAGUUCAAGUAUUUGAGGCUCAUUGGGAUUUUCCCUGUUGAAAACUACCGUUUCUUAGGGAUGAACGAUUUUAUUAAUAGUUUUUCUAUACCUUGUAAACAAUUGGAAGUGAAUUUCCUCUAUUAGUUCCUCGGUUGUUCCUGCUUUCACUUUCAAUUGAAUGUUUCUCCAUUAAUUUCACUUUUCCCCUUUUUUUAAAUUGUGGUAAGUUUUGUAAGUUGAGAAAGGAACUCACCAGAACCAACGCGAGGCAAUUCAAUUAGCCAAAAAAGGGAACUAACACCCAAAAGCCAUCUGUUGAUAAAAAGCAUUCUUUUAUUAGUUUAUUUAUGCUGUUAGGUAUUGUGAUUUAGGGUAAAAUAAAGAAUUUUCUAAUGAAUUUCAAGUUGGUGUUAGACUUCUCGUUACGGCGUCUCGGUAACAGUUGUCAUUGACUGAAAUAAUAAAGUUCAGCAAAAUGGUAAAGAAUUCUUAUCAGUAAUGGAGAGACGCGACAAGUAUAGAUUGUGUGAAUUGACAUAAUCACAUCGGAGAUAAAAGAACGAGAUCACAGACGGGACAGGGAUAUAUAAACGCUACGGGACAGGGAUAUAUAAACGCAGCUCCACUUAAUCGUCAAAUUAAUUCGUUUUAGCCUACUUUUCAAAUUGAUACUUCAUUCAAAUUUUGUACUUCAUGGUUUGACUGUUUGAGACACUUUUGCUUGCAGCAUGAGGUACAGUAUGAAGUAUGAAGUAAGCAACUUACCCUUAUUAAGAUGUGUAUUGUGUAACUUGGGAGCAGACAAAGUUUCCCAAGAGGAUUCCAUUUAGUAGGGCAUUUAGCCCAAACAAAGCUGUCACAUUCUUAAUGCUGCUCUCCAACUAUCAAUGGCCAUCGAAACCUACAAAAAAAAAGAAAGGUUUAUCAUAGGUAAGGCACAGUGCAGAGUAACAGGGAUAAAGUUAAAAUGGUGAUACGUAGAGGUAGCAGAAGACGAUAUUUCGUCAACAAUCUGGAAUCACUAACAGGGAUGGAACUGGAGGUGGGGCCAGGUGAGGCUUGAAAGAAAACCAAGAUGGCCGCCCUGGUUUGCGAACCCAUCCCCCUCCUUUUCUUUGUCAGUGAUUCCCCCUCCCUUUCCAUGCAGAAUGGGCAAUGUGUGUGUUGACAAUUCGUCUGUGUCGUGUCUCGUGUUAUUAGUUCCUUCGUGUUAGUUAGUUCCAAUAGGGCGCCAUUGGUUAUAGACUUAUAGUUAAGUGUUCCUAGUUAGACUACUUUGUAGUCUGUGGUUAAAAGUUAAAAGAAUAGCAAACAAAUGGUGAGUUACAGUGUUGACUGUGCAAGUGUCGUCGGCCAGGAAUUUGGUCACUUUUACGCUUGGUGUUUCUUGCGGAUUGUGAAUAACGUUCGUGUCUAUUAUUUGAUCGAGUGUACGAUUGUCAAAAUCUCAGUGACGAUAUUCAUGCUGCGAUGCAACCUUACCUACUUCCCUCAAUUUCAGUGGAAAUUAUUCAGAAUGGUCACCGCCUAGAGUGUCUACACUCUACACUUGUGGUGGUGUGAUUGUGAUGGUAAUUCUCAGCAUUUUGCAUUUUGAUAAUUACAGCUGAAGUUUUAAUGAGACCCGGUGGUCAUGACAAUAGAAAUAAAAUGGUCUAAUCCAAUAAUGCAAGCUAAUUCUUCUAAAGCUCAGGAGUUUCUAUUUAUUGCGAGGUUAACUUUUUGCUGUAAAGGUUGUAGUAAAUCUCCAAGUUAUUGAUGCCUUCCCCGGAUCCAAUACUUUACUGCUACCUGCUAUCUGUUUUACAAACAACAUGAGAAAGCUGCCGCUCAAGAAGUUGUGGUGACUAUCGCUUAGUUCAGAUUUAGGAAAAUGUAAGAUUGACAGAUUUGAGGUUAAUCCCUCGCCGCUGUGAUAGUCGUUUGGAAAC